AAGAAAGAACUGAAGCAGGGAAAGAUGAGAUCAAUUGUUUGGCUCGGAAGUGGCAAGACCAGGACCCAAACUGAGAUCUACCUGAUUGGAGAAGCCCAGUGAGUCUCUAGUUUAAUAAGAGGCAACCUCUCUACUCAAAUAUGCUCUGGCCUGCAAUAAAAGUUACAUUUUUGGACCCUGGAAACUCAAGUCCCAGAUACAGUGAAACCCAAACCACUUGCCACUUCUACUUCUCUCUCUUGCCAGAAGAUUUUGGUGCAACAGAAGAGCAGGAGGCACAUACCGUAUGUUUUUCAUUCAUUUAUGCUGAAGUCGUCAAAACGUUCCUUUUUUUAUGAGCCAUUUGAUGUCGAAAAAGCCUUUUGAGUUGCAUUUAUAACCCUUUAAAAAGCUCAUUCCUCUUCGAAACAGGAAGCCACUUUGUGAACAGAGUAAACACAGCCCAAGUGUGGAAGAUGGGAGAGGGAGGCACCCCAGCUCCGGGAGCCUCUGGUUCGGGGUGAAAGCCUUCACCACCCACGGCUCCUUGUGGCCUUGGUGGUUGGAGGGGGUGAGGGGAUCAGAUGGGGCGGCAGUGGCCCAUGCUCAUGGAGCAGCUCUGCAAUGCGUGCAUCUGCGGUUGGUCAUUGUGCUUGUGAGUCUAUGCCAGCACCGCAGAAGGGAUGCUUGGCUCACUCUGGCUCCUCUCUGCCUCCUCCAGGGGUUCACUGUCUACGAGUUCGGUUCCCUACUCAUGUACAACAUAGUGGAUGGGCCAGCUGGUCUCCAAAGGCCUUUAAGCUCACUGGAGUUAUGCUUUUUUCUAGAUCUUAGGUGCCUUCCUCCAACACAGCAUAUUCACGGCACACUCGAUGUGACUUCCCCAUUCAACACCCAUAAUACACAUGAUAAUGAUAAAGAUAAUGAGCCUUUUCCACUGACCUCAGAUAUGAAUUUAGAAUCCCUUCCCACAGAGUCCCCCAAAGCAAUGGCUUCCAAAGAUUUAGCCUUGGCACACAUGGGAGAAAAUGGAUCACAGGUCAACCGUGGCCCAGGUAGUGAUAGGAGUUCUAACAUCAAAUCCUCUAGGGCAGGAAUGGCUCUCACGAAGGCCCAGCUAUAGACACAAGUGCAGUUUAAAGACAAAAUAAAAUAGAAAAAAAAAAUCAAAUGAGGUGAAGCAAAAUAAAGCAAAACAAAAGUUGAAACAGUGAAAUAAAAUAAGCUGAAACCGAGAGUCCCUUGCUGUGUGACCUACAGCAGGUGGCUAACUUCUCUGAGUCUGUUUUCUGACCCACCCAAUGGUGUGGCAAGGCUUACCUUCCCAUUCCAGUUUUUCUUGCUCUUCCCCCGCUUUUUUUUUUUUUUUUUAAUAUAGUUGACAAAGAGCACUUGCAUUCAUUGUGAUCAUAAUGCUAACCUUUAUCCUGAACGCCAUGGUGCGUGACUUUUUCACAUUCUAUUGUUUCUAACACCGAGACGUGCCUACAGAUGUCUUGCGCAGUUAAGGUUCCAGAAGAAAAUAAAAGCCUUCGAAUAAAACAAA